rnacentral:rRNA from 1 species
UACGUAGGGUGCGAGCGUUGUCCGGAAUUAUUGGGCGUAAAGAGCGUGUAGGCGGCCAUGCAGGUCCGUUGUGAAAACUCGAGGCUCAACCUCGAGACGCCGAUGGAAACCGCAUGGCUAGAGUCCGGAAGAGGAGACUGGAAUUCCUGGUGUAGCGGUGAAAUGCGCAGAUAUCAGGAGGAACACCGGUGGCGAAGGCGGGUCUCUGGGCCGAUACUGACGCUGAGGAGCGAAAGCGUGGGGAGCGAACAGG